GACGAACGCUGGCGGCGUGCUUAACACAUGCAAGUCGAACGAAGUGGCGAACGGGUGAGUAACGCGUAAUCAACCUGCCCUUCAGAGGGGGACAACAGUUGGAAACGACUGCUAAUACCGCAUACUGAAGGAGGGGAUUGCGUCGGAUUAGCUAGUUGGAGGGGGAACGGCCCACCAAGGCGAGGAACGGUAGCCGGUCUGGGAAGAAGAACGGGCACAUUGGGACUGGGACACGGCCCAGACUCCUGCGGGAGGGAGCAAUGGGGAAUCUUCCGCAAUUGACGAAAGUCUGACGAAGCACCGCCGCGUGAGUGAUGACGGCCUUCGGGUUGUAAAGCUAUGUUAAUCGGGACGCGGUACCGGAAUAGAAAGCCACGGCUAACUACGUGCCAGCAGCCGCGGUAAUUC
rnacentral:rRNA from 1 species